rnacentral:rRNA from 1 species
UACAGAGGGGGGCAAGCGUUAUUCGGAAUCACUGGGCUUACAGAGUUCGUAGGCGGUCUGGAAAGUUGGGUGUGAAAUCCCUCGGCUCAACCGAGGAACUGCGCUUGAAACUACCAGACUCGAGGGAGAUAGAGGAAAGCGGAACUGAUGGUGGAGCGGUGAAAUGCGUUGAUAUCAUCAGGAACACCGGUGGCGAAGGCGGCUUUCUGGGUCUUACCUGACGCUGAGGAACGAAAGCUAGGGGAGCGAACGG